rnacentral:rRNA from 1 species
AGCAGCCGCGGUAAUUCCAGCUCCAAUAGCGUAUAUUAAAGUUGUUGCAGUUAAAAAGCUCGUAGUUGAAUUUCGGGGUUAGUAGGUUGGUCAUGCCUCUGGUAUGUACUGGUCUCACUGAUUCCUCCUUCCUGAUGAGCCGUAAUGCCAUUAAUUUGGUGUUGCGGGGAAUUUGGACUGUUACUUUGAAAAAAUUAGAGUGUUUAAAAGCAAGCUAACGCUUGAAUACAUUAGCAUGAAAUAAUGAAAUAGGACGUUCGAUCCUAUUUUGUUGGUUUUCUAGGAUUGACGUAAUGAUUAAUAGGGAUAGUUGGGGGCAUUAGUAUUCAAUUGUCAGAGGUGAAAUUCUUGGGAUUUUUAUUGAAGACUAACUACUGCGAAAAGCAUUUUGCCAAGGGAUGUUUUCAUUAAUCAAGACGAAAGUUUAGGGGGAUCGAAAGACGAUCAGAUACCGUCGUAGUCUUAACCCAUAAAACUAUGCCCGACUA